CAACCCUCAAGCCUUGCUUGGUGUUGGGGCUUCUAUAGCAGCUGCUAUAGGCCCUGAAGAUCAGUGGCGGGCUCGCUGUGGACCCGAGCGUAGUAUUAUUCUCGUUUAGGGCUUUAUAGCGGGUUUCUAGCCGUUAAACCCCCCAAAUUUUAAA
rnacentral:misc_RNA from 1 species